CGGCAGGCCUACACAUGCAAGUCGACGGUAGCACAGAGGAGCUUGCUCCUUGGGUGACGAGUGGCGGACGGGUGAGUAAUGUCUGGGGAUCUGCCCGAUGGAGGGGGAUAACUACUGGAAACGGUAGCUAAUACCGCAUAACGUCGCAAGACCAAAGUGGGGGACCUUCGGGCCUCACACCAUCGGAUGAACCCAGAUGGGAUUAGCUAGUAGGUGGGGUAACGGCUCACCUAGGCGACGAUCCCUAGCUGGUCUGAGAGGAUGACCAGCCACACUGGAACUGAGACACGGUCCAGACUCCUACGGGAGGCAGCAGUGGGGAAUAUUGCACAAUGGGCGCAAGCCUGAUGCAGCCAUGCCGCGUGUAUGAAGAAGGCCUUCGGGUUGUAAAGUACUUUCAGCGGGGAGGAAGGUGGUGAGGUUAAUAACCUCAUCAAUUGACGUUACCCGCAGAAGAAGCACCGGCUAACUCCGUGCCAGCAGCCGCGGUAAUACGGAGGGUGCAAGCGUUAAUCGGAAUUACUGGGCGUAAAGCGCACGCAGGCGGUCUGUCAAGUCGGAUGUGAAAUCCCCGGGCUUAACCUGGGAACUGCAUUCGAAACUGGCAGGCUCGAGUCUCGUAGAGGGGGGUAGAAUUCCAGGUGUAGCGGUGAAAUGCGUAGAGAUCUGGAGGAAUACCGGUGGCGAAGGCGGCCCCCUGGACGAAGACUGACGCUCAGGUGCGAAAGCGUGGGGAGCAAACAGGAUUAGAUACCCUGGUAGUCCACGCCGUAAACGAUGUCGACUUGGAGGUUGUGCCCUUGAGGCGUGGCUUCCGGAGCUAACGCGUUAAGUCGACCGCCUGGGGAGUACGGCCGCAAGGUUAAAACUCAAAUGAAUUGACGGGGGCCCGCACAAGCGGUGGAGCAUGUGGUUUAAUUCGAUGCAACGCGAAGAACCUUACCUGGCCUUGACAUCCACGGAAUUUGGCAGAGAUGCCUUAGUGCCUUCGGGAACCGUGAGACAGGUGCUGCAUGGCUGUCGUCAGCUCGUGUUGUGAAAUGUUGGGUUAAGUCCCGCAACGAGCGCAACCCUUAUCCUUUGUUGCCAGCGAUUCGGUCGGGAACUCAAAGGAGACUGCCGGUGAUAAACCGGAGGAAGGUGGGGAUGACGUCAAGUCAUCAUGGCCCUUACGGCCAGGGCUACACACGUGCUACAAUGGCGCAUACAAAGAGAAGCGACCUCGCGAGAGCAAGCGGACCUCAUAAAGUGCGUCGUAGUCCGGAUUGGAGUCUGCAACUCGACUCCAUGAAGUCGGAAUCGCUAGUAAUCGUAGAUCAGAAUGCUACGGUGAAUACGUUCCCGGGCCUUGUACACACCGCCCGUCACACCAUGGGAGUGGGUUGCAAAAGAAGUAGGUAGCUUAAC
rnacentral:rRNA from 1 species